UACGUAGGGGGCAAGCGUUGUCCGGAUUUAUUGGGCGUAAAGAGCGUGUAGGCGGCCAGAUAGGUCUGUUGUGAAAACUCGAGGCUCAACCUCGAGACGCCGACGGAAACCAUCUGGCUAGAGUCCGGAAGGGGAGAGUGGAAUUCCUGGUGUAGCGGUGAAAUGCGCAGAUAUCAGGAAGAACACCCGUGGCUAAGGCGGCUCUCUAGUACGGUACUGACGCUGAGACGCGAAAGCGUGGGGAGCGAACAGG
rnacentral:rRNA from 1 species